GAUGAACGCUGGCGGCGUGCCUAAUACAUGCAAGUCGAGCGAACGGACGAGAAGCUUGCUUCUCUGAUGUUAGCGGCGGACGGGUGAGUAACACGUGGAUAACCUACCUAUAAGACUGGGAUAACUUCGGGAAACCGGAGCUAAUACCGGAUGAUAUUUUGAACCGCAUGGUUCAAAAGUGAAAGACGGUCUUGCUGUCACUUAUAGAUGGAUCCGCGCUGCAUUAGCUAGUUGGUAAGGUAACGGCUUACCAAGGCAACGAUGCAUAGCCGACCUGAGAGGGUGAUCGGCCACACUGGAACUGAGACACGGUCCAGACUCCUACGGGAGGCAGCAGUAGGGAAUCUUCCGCAAUGGGCGAAAGCCUGACGGAGCAACGCCGCGUGAGUGAUGAAGGUCUUCGGAUCGUAAAACUCUGUUAUUAGGGAAGAACAUAUGUGUAAGUAACUGUGCACAUCUUGACGGUACCUAAUCAGAAAGACACGGCUAACUACGUG
rnacentral:rRNA from 1 species